rnacentral:rRNA from 1 species
UACAGAGGGUGCAAGCGUUAAUCGGAAUUACUGGGCGUAAAGCGUGCGUAGACGGUUACAUAAGUCGGAUGUGAAAGCCCCGGGCUCAACCUGGGAAUGGCAUUCGAGACUGUGCAGCUAGGAUGCGGAAGAGGGAAGCGGAAUUUCCGGUGUAGCGGUGAAAUGCGUAGAUAUCGGAAGGAACACCAGUGGCGAAGGCGGCCCCCUGGUUGGAUACUGACGCUGAGACGCGAAAGCGUGGGGAGCAAACAGG